rnacentral:lncRNA from 1 species
GACACCUGCUCUUCCAAGACCACGGAUCUCUUUCCCGGCUCUUCUGCCAACUCCUGCUUCAAGCACCUUAAGAUUCACUGACCACUCCAAAGGUGGGAGCUCAGCCUCCGGGAUGUCAGGGUUUGCAUUCUUCUGUGCAUUUUUCAAUUCAGUGGCCUCUUUCUGCAUUUCUUCCUGCAUUUAAAAAAAAGUCUGUAAAUAUUAUUUACAUAAGAGAUAAGCUUGUAAUUAGAUUUGGAAUUUAAAUUCAUAUUGCUGUUGAAAAGCAGUUCAGGGUUUGGUAACCAGUGAAGGAAAAUAAGUUGGAAAAUGAUGGAACUGUUAUGAAUCUGCUACAUAUUGCAGGCAUGUAAAUCUACUAAAUGAAGAAUUGAACUUAGAGACAAGUAAUGAGAAACUGAUAUCAUGACUUGAUCUGCAGAAACUGAUAUUGCAGGUGAUAUUGAACUUGAGACAAGCAAUGAGAAACUGAUAUUGCAGGUGAUUGAUAGUGAUAUAUGUGUUGUUCAUGUUUUCUGCAGAAUUAGGGUAGAUUGAGUUCAAUCCUAAGCACAAAAAACCAAAUUCAAUAUAAACAAACUGAUAUCAAGACUUGAUCUAAUAUACUCAACAAUAACAAAUUCACAUUCACUAAGACACAAGACAAAUGCAUUCACAUUCACAUUCCUACAGAGAUAUGAAACUUAGCAUAACAAAUUCACAUUCACUAAGACAAAACACAAAUGCAUCUACACCAACUGAAAAUUAUUUAAUUGCACCAACUGAAAAUUAUUUGCACAAUAUAUGUAAGCUAUUUGCACUAGAUUCAUUAACUUACAAGAUUCUUGGUAGCUUUAGGGUCGUUGACUGUGUCAUACGUCUCCGUGUAAGCUGGGAUAACAGGAAAUUCCUCACCCUUCUCUUUGUGGUGGACCACCCUAUAGAUGAUAGGUAGCCGCCCCGUGUGGUGCUCCGACUCCUUCUUACCACGGUUGGUCUUGUUAGCCGCCGAUCGUGUCUGCCAAUCACAUAGUAGUUAUAAAUAUAAUGUGCCAGCAAAGCCAAACAUUCAAACCAAAGUGGCAGCAAAAUAAUUCUUUUACCUUGAAAUCAGGCGACUCAAACUGCCAACAAAGCCAGUCCCACUCAUCCUGCCUGUGUAUCAAAUCAGGCGGAAUUCUUUCUCUCCCAUACUUCUUAUAGUGCCUUGAGAAGUCCCCCUUCCAAUCUCGAUAUAUGAUACCCGCCUUAUCUUCAAGCCACGCCCACAUCUGUUUAUCCCCAAAAUCAAUUUUAAAAUACGGCUAUAACACAAACAACAACUCAUCAGACUAAUUUGAGAUAAACAAUCAUAAAAAUAGUAGAUUCACCAUAUAACACAAUCAAUAUGUCAUCACCUUGUAAAUUGACAUAAUGAAAUAAGAUUAUUAGAACUAGAUAUAUG